rnacentral:rRNA from 1 species
AGUGCCAGCAGCCGCGGUAAUACGGAGGAUCCAAGCGUUAUCCGGAAUCAUUGGGUUUAAAGGGUCCGUAGGUGGACAAAUAAGUCAGAGGUGAAAUCCUGCAGCUCAACUGUAGAACUGCCUUUGAUACUGUUUGUCUUGAGUUAUUAUGAAGUGGUUAGAAUGUGUAGUGUAGCGGUGAAAUGCAUAGAUAUUACACAGAAUACCGAUUGCGAAGGCAGAUCACUAAUAAUUAACUGACACUGAGGGACGAAAGCGUGGGUAGCGAACAGGAUUAGAUACCCUGGUAGUCCACGCCGUAAACGAUGGUCACUAGCUGUUUGGACUUCGGUCUGAGUGGCUAAGCGAAAGUGAUAAGUGACCCACCUGGGGAGUACGUUCGCAAGAAUGAAACUCAAAGGAAUUGACGGGGGCCCGCACAAGCGGUGGAGCAUGUGGUUUAAUUCGAUGAUACGCGAGGAACCUUACCAGGGCUUAAAUGUUAGGUGACAGGUCUAGAAAUAGAUUUUUCUUCGGACACUUAACAAGGUGCUGCAUGGUUGUCGUCAGCUCGUGCCGUGAGGUGUCAGGUUAAGUC